UGGGGAAUAUUGCACAAUGGGCGCAAGCCUGAUGCAGCAACGCCGCGUGAACGAUGAAGGUCUUCGGAUCGUAAAGUUCUGUUGCAGGGGAAGAUAAUGACGGUACCCUGUGAGGAAGCCCCGGCUAACUACGUGCCAGCAGCCGCGGUAAUACGUAGGGGGCUAGCGUUAUCCGGAUUUACUGGGCGUAAAGGGUGCGUAGGUGGUCUUUCAAGUCGGUGGUUAAAGGCUACGGCUCAACCGUAGUUAGCCUCCGAAACUGGAAGACUUGAGUGCAGGAGAGGAAAGUGGAAUUCCCAGUGUAGCGGUGAAAUGCGUAGAUAUUGGGAGGAACACCAGUAGCGAAGGCGGCUUGCGGGACUGCAACUGACACUGAGGCACGAAAGCGUGGGUAGCAAACAGG
rnacentral:rRNA from 1 species